ensembl:lncRNA
AUUGUGGGAAAACUGAGUUUAAAUGUAUUUGGCUAAGGUGUAUGUAAACUUUCGACUUCAACUGUGUAUAAUAUUGUGGUACCUAUCUAGAGAUUAGAGGUCGACCGAUUAAUCUGAAUGGCCGAUUAAUCAGGGCCGAUUUCAAGUUUUCAUAACAAUCGGAAAUCUGUAUUUUUGGGCGCGGAUUUUUAAAAAUUACAUCUUUAUUUAACUAGGCAAGUCAGUUAAGAACACAUUCUUAUUUUCAGUGACGGCCUAGGAACGAUGGGUUAACUGCCUUGUUCAGGGGCAGAACGACAGCUUUUCACCUUGUCAGCUCGGGGGAUUCAAUCUUGCAACCUUACAGUUAACUUGUCCAACGCUCUAACCACCUGCCUCUCAUUGCACGCCACGAGGAGCCUGCCUGUUACGCGAAUGCAGUAGAAGCCAAGCACUUUCUAGGUUUUUAACAUAGAAUACCAGGAGUCAGCCUCUGCAACCUUGGAGCUGAUACAGAGGUUCCUGGUUCGAAUAAACCCUGAAGGAACCAAAUGCACAGUGAAAGCAGGAGUGAUCCGCAAGACCGGAAAGGUCGCUCCGAGGAAGCAGUUGCCAAUUGAGCCACGUGUUACACGCUUUCUCGCAGACCUGGCGGAGUCUGAGUGGAAAAACUCCAACAUGAGGAUCAGAGUUUCGAAGAUUGGGGUGAUAACCUGCACGCCACCGAGAUUUAUUUGAGACUUGUUUGCAGCUCUCAUUCUCUCAGAAAUCCUGCCAUGCGGGUUGGGUCAGCAAAUGACCUGCUUGUGCCAUCCCGGAUCCCGUGUUGGCUUGCGGUAGCAUGCUACUCUGGCUCCAGUCUAGCCCUGCUCGCUCCUCUCUAUCCAUCCUUCUCUCUCAGCCUCUUUCUUUCUCUAUCUCUUUUUCUCAUUUCUCUCUCAAAGACAGGCAGGCAAGCAGUUCUUGUUAUAGCUUUUUGUAAUAAUUUCUGUUCAACUGUUUUCCUAUUUUUCAUUGAUCUGUUUAGAUUUUACUUUUUUCUUACAUAAUCCUGUAUUUUCAAGAAUGACCUCUUCGGAUGUCUUGGUUUGUGUAUGGUGAAGUACAUUAUUUGCUAG